rnacentral:tRNA from 1 species
GGAGAGGUGACCGAGAGGCCGAAGGUGCACGAUUGGAAAUCGUGUGUGCACUCAUACUGCACCGAGGGUUCGAAUCCCUCCUUCUCCGCCA